CCAGACUCCUACGGGAGGCAGCAGUGGGGAAUAUUGCACAAUGGGGGGAACCCUGAUGCAGCGACGCCGCGUGGGUGAAGGAGCACCUCGGUGCGUAAAGCCCUAUCGGCAGGGAAGAAAAGCGAACAGGUUCGCCUGGACGGUACCUGACUAAGAAGCCCCGGCUAACUACGUGCCAGCAGCCGCGGUAAUACGGAGGGGGCAAGCGUUAUCCGGAUUUACUGGGUGUAAAGGGAGCGUAGACGGCGACGCAAGUCUGGAGGGAAAGCCCGGGGCCCAACCCCGGGACUGCUCUGGAAACUGCGGCGCUGGAGUACGGGAGGGGCAGGCGGAAUUCCUGGUGUAGCGGUGAAAUGCGUAGAUAUCAGGAGGAACACCGGCGGCGAAGGCGGCCUGCUGGACCGUGACUGACGUUGAGGCUCGAGGGCGUGGGGAGCAAACAGGAUUAGAUACCCUGGUA
rnacentral:rRNA from 1 species